GAUGAACGCUGGCGGCGUGCCUAAUACAUGCAAGUCGAGCGAACAGAUAAGGAGCUUGCGCCUUUGACGUUAGCGGCAGACGGGUGAGUAACACGUGGAAAACCUACCUAUAAUUCUGGAAUAAUCACGGGAAACCGGCGCAAAUCCCGUAUAACAUUUAGAACCGCAGGGUUCUAAGGUAAAAGAUGGUUGUGCUAUCUCUUCUAGAUGGACCCGGGCCGGAUUAGCUAGUUGGUAAGGUAAAGGCUUACCAAGGGAACGAUACGUAGACGACCGGAGAGGGUGAUCGCCCACACUGGAACUGGGCCACGGUCCAGACUCCUACGGGAGGCAGCAGUAGGGAAUGUGACGCAAUGGGCGAAAGCCUGACGGAGCAACGCCGCGUGAGUGAUGAAGGCCUUCGGAUCGUAAAACUCUGUUAUUAGGGAAGAACAAAUGUGUAAGUAACUGUGCACGUCUUGACGGUACCUAAUCAGAAAGCCACGGCUAACUACGUG
rnacentral:rRNA from 1 species